UAUAAGGUGUUUGUUCUCGCUACAAACCUCUGUACCAAGAUGAGCAAGGUUUCUACAGCCCUACAUUAUCCAGGGGGUUAACCAUGUUAGUCUGUUGCAACCAAAAUUACAAAGCUUGGUUUUGAGGUGCUCUAAAGACUUAACAAAUUAUUACAGCAUAAACCUUUGUGAAUUUCAGUCCACUAAUCAAAUGCAAAUGAUAAAGUGGGCUGUAGUCCAUGGAAGUUUGGGGGCUUUCUGUGUGCUACCUCUUGUAGAGAUCCCAACAGUGGGAUUUUUGCUCACUCACACAUUCAGUGGACAGAAUAGGGAGUCCCAUACUGGCAGAGCAACAAGGGCACUGGGAGCCAAUGGAGGUCCAGCACUACUGAGUGUUGGGACGCUUCCAGCCAAUCCCAAAAAACCCUCAGCCCAGUGCAAAGGAGGUUUGGACCGCAGCCUAAAGAAUGAAGUCAUAUCAAAUAAACACAACAAACAUAAUCAGCUACAUAAUAAUGACCCGCAGACUCAAGAAUCUGUCAUAUAUUAGAUCUGUUUUCCCUACAGCAAAAGGUUGUGAUGCACAGGCUGUGGGUUUUUUUAUGUAUCCCAGUGAAACAUGCUACUAAGAGAGACAUUUUGAUGUGUUCAGUGAGGCAUAGAAUGAAGCACUAGUGCAGGUGGUACUAGUGAUGAUUAACAGUUGCACCAGAAUCAAGAAAGACCAGGAGAUUCCUAUGAGAGGGGGACCUCCCUUGUAAUGGACUUUGGGAACAACAGAAGAUGAGGAAGAUGAGUGAGUGUGACCUGUUUUUCAUAAGUGCAGCCCCUUCUCAUUCCACCCACUGGUGCUUGGGGCCAGAGGCGCUGUAAUUCUGCCUUUCAAUAAACACAUGUUAUGUUAAUAGACAUUGAAGAGUGAAAAUGUGUAAUAGCUAGAAAUGCUUACCCUCUGAGUCAUUGUGGUAGCUAUUCAGAUGGAGCCACUCAUGCAUAUCUCACAAUGUGUAAAUUUGGUGCCUUUGUGAAACUGGUUUCUGGGUUCUUUUUUUCUUAUUAUCAGUGGACUCCAGGAGCUGUCUCUUGACUAGCAAUGCUUAUUAAAGUUCUCAGUAUCAUACCACCUACCUGGAGCUUUUAUGUAUUUGAAUGUAUUCAUUUUUGUUUGCCAAGAAAGUAUGAAAUAACGCUGCAGUUUGCUUCUUUGUUGUGUUCAGUUAUAUUUUGUUACCCUGGGACUGACUUUCCCAAUCCUGUUUUCAAGCUUUUUCAAUGUCUUCUCCGGUUUUCUUUGUUUAAACAAGCCUAUGACAGAAACAUAUUCCCUAAUUGUUAUCAAUCAUUCAUAAACAAGCAGCACACAUGGCAUUCCCCCUUUGGCACUCUGCCUCUUUAGUGUAUUUCAAAGGCAUCUGUUUCCUCAAAUUGUCUAUUCCCUUUGUUUAGUGCAGCACUGAGUUUCUAAGACUAAAUAACCCCAUAUGUUGAUUGGAACAUUUUCUUUUUCCUUUAAAGGUUUCUGCCUUUUAAAACUCUUCAUCCCAAAAGCACAAUUUCGGUAAUAAUUUCCUAGCACUUUUAUUCCCAGCUUACGGGUAAAUGAAAUGGAUUUAAGUGUGUUAGUAUCUUGGACCCAAGCACACUGCUUAGAAGCAAAUUGCUUUGAUUUAAAUAGGAUUGAAGUGUACACUGAGGACCAGUCCUAGUAUUAGGCAAAGUGAGGCAGUCCCCUUAGGUGGCACAUGCUGUGGGGUAGCAUUCUCCUUUACUGGAAGACAAACUGUCCUGCAUCCCCUAAACUUACCUGCUGCCCUCAUGUUGUGAAGGAUAUCAUUUAUGUUGUGAAGGAUACUAUUCUAUUUUUGGUGUUGAAGUAAAAAUCAGUUGCCAGCCUACUUGGCUUCUGUAUGUGGAAUUGUAGUAUCUUUGGUUGUGUUGAAUGCUGUAAUUCCAGUUGCACAACAGAGAUCCACUUAUGCAAUAGAACUCCACCUUUCUAUUCUCUGCCCUACAUCUUCCUGAACACCCUCAUGAUCGACUCCAGAGGAUUGAUUGGAGGACCUUCUAGAGCAGGUUUUGGGGCAUGAGUGGAGCUCUGUGUAUGCUGCUUGGAUACAACACAUAGUCUGUUGCCUCAGGUAGUAAAACAUUGGCCAGGUCCUGUGUACCCUAUAUUGUGUUCGAGAAUUCUUCUAAGAGAGAUGAUUCCAUCAGUAUGGAUAAUGGGUAGCAAUGGGACUUGAGGCUGAAGGGCAGGUAAUAAAUAGCAACAACAAUGAGAGCCAGAGGAUGGGUAAGUGGGAAGAUAGGAAGGAGCUGUUUUCAUCAAAUUGAUAUAACAAUUCCCUUUUGACUAAUACGAGCACAAGCAACACAACUUGCCACAUAGGUUCUUUCAGAGUGUUAGCUCCUUGUGGAGGAAGAAAGAAUCUCAGACAACACAGAAGACAUGACUGCCCUGAAUUGAGAGAGGAGAAAUCUGUCCUUUUAUAUCUCAGUCUUAUAAUAAUAUUAUGAGAUAAUCAAUUACAAUUUAUAAAUAUUGUUUGUUGGAAAUAACUUUUUAUAGGAAUCAAAUCAACCAAGGAUUUUUCUGGCGUAUUAAACUGCAGCAUGGCAUAAUUACAUUUCUAUUCUCCUGCUUUCUUUACAUUGAUUCAACAAGAGUAGGCAAUUACUGAGUUCACAGUGAGUGAAUGGAUUCUACUAGAUGCCAUGAACUUUAAGAUAAUAUUUACCAAAUUGUUAAAGGGUUACUUUUUUCAACUGAAAACCAAUUUUGGAGCUAUUAUUUGAGAACAUACUAUAUUUUGCAGAAAUGAUUCUUAAGUGCAAUGUAGUGGUAUAACAAUGGAAAUGUAUUUGCAUUUUUAUCAUGUCAUAUAAUGUUUGUAUUUCCAAAGCUAUAAUAAGUAUUAAGGGACAUGGCACAUUAGGGGUUAUUUUAUCAUUGUGCAUGAAAAACAUUGGUAGACUUACAAAACCUUGCAGAAAAUUGGGCAAGGCACCCAUUUCAGAAUCACUCAAAGAUUUAUAAUUUGGCAUAAUAUUUGAACUUUGAUUAUUUUAUAAUUUGGAAUGUUUUUAAUGUGGCUUUUAUUGGAUUGUUAAAUUGGAAAACUUUAUAAAUAUAUAUUUUUUUAAAGAGACCCACAAUUUCAAUAUACACGUGAGAGAGACAGCAUAUGCCUGUUCUAUCCCCUAUACAUCUGGAGUAAGUCUUAGCUUGGUUACUAUUUUCCCUCCUUGAAAAGUGUAUCGAGCCAAAGGAGGAAGUUGUAUGAGGAACACUUCCCACUUCCUGUUUCAGUUUUUUAUACUCUUCAGCUUUAUUUACUCUUCAAAGCUCAGAUCAGCACCUGAGCUGCCAAUCCUUUUCUCACUUCCCCUUUCAGCUCUAUGCGCUAUUCAAGGCUCAGAUUGGCACUACAGUAGCUGAAGAGAAAGAACAGCUACUGAGUGGUAGUGGAUCUGGGAAACCUGGGGAUAGGGGAGGAAGACAGUGACUGGAUGAGGCAAAGAGGGGGUUAGGAGGGAGGGGGUGUUAGUGAGAGAAGGCACACACAUACACACAGAUCAAAUCCAAUGAAACGGAUCCUCUUGAAAUUGCAUAUUUUUAUGGGUUCCCUCCUCCAAACCACCAUCAAAUCACUAGUCACAUCUGUUUCUAUUCCCUGAACCUUUAAUCGCCAGUGCUUUGUGUUAUCAGGUGCCAUGCAAAUGUCAUAAAUAAAUCAUUGAAAUCUAAAACUGUAAUGAGAGAUGUGGGAGGUAAGAUUGAAGGAUUACAGUGGCCCAAAUUAAUUUAUUUCCCCCCUAAUUUAUUUAUUUAUAAGGUGCACUUUUUAAAAAUAAUAAUAAUAGUGAAGUAUGUAACAUAUCAAAAUAAAAUCAGCAAAACAAUUUCCCCAAACUCAUCAUUUAAAACAUUAAUACAGUGGUACCUUGGGUUAAGAACUUAAUUCGUUCUGGAGGUCCGUUCUUAACCUGAUACUGUUCUUAACCUGAGAUACCACUUUAGCUAAUGGGGCCUGCCACUGCGCCACUGUCGCACAAUUUCUGUUCUCAUCCUGAAGCAAAGUUCUUAACCCGAAGUACUAUUUCUGGGUUAGCGGAGUCUGUAACCUGAAGUGUCUUUAACCUGAAGCAUCUGUAACCCGAGGUACCACUGUACUAAUUUUAUGAUUACUUGAGGACACAGUAGAGGCAUUUGAAGUAAGAUUUUUUGCUACCCUUAUUGCCAUAUUGUAGGUGGGAUUAUGUGCUCUAACCAGGGCUCGGUUGGCCUUAGAUCAAGGUUUAUGCCACUGGUGCGCUCUCUCUCUCUCAGUCAAUCAAUCAAUCAGUCAAUCAAUUUAUAUACCACCCUAUACCCAGAGGUCUCAGGGCAGUUCACAGAACAAAAUCAGACUAUAAAACCAC
rnacentral:lncRNA from 1 species